CAGGUAAACUGAGACUGUCUGCGGCUGCUAAUUUCAUGUGCCUGUUUACGGUACAGAUAGAACACGAAAAUGUCAAGGUAAAAUCAGAACUUUCGGUCAGAACCAGUUUACAGUCUAUGAAUCAUCAACAACAUUUUUUUCCCAGCCAUCGAUGAAUUUUGCUUUCCCCCAGGUGAUUAACUGAACAAUCAAUGCUACUGAUUGGCCAGACUGCAGUCACACCUGACUCCCAGCACUCCCUGGCCCAAGAGAGUGAACAGGACCAUUUCUGACAAAGAUAUUCCAACUGUAAGAUGUGAAACCUUUUAUGCAUUCUAAUAUAAAGACACCAGCAUAGAAAAACAUUCAAAACAAAUGUCUCAAAUUUAUUUCUGUGUACAAUUUUACAGAAACAAGAUGCAAAUUAGAAUAAAAAUCUUAAUUAAGAUUUGUAUAUUUAAUGAUCCACAGGAUUAAUAGCAUGUAUGUGCAUGGAAACAUAAUACAUUUAUUAAUAUGUGUCUGCAUUAUAUAUGAACAUAUAAUCAUACACAAACACAUAUAA